AAGGUUUAUCCAGGUACGGGUGCUUUUACCCGGAAGGGGUAAAAGUUAAAAGGGAAGCCGGUGGGAAUCCGGCGCGGUCCCGCCACUGUGAGGGGGAGGAACCCUACAUAUAGGUCACUGGGGCUUUUAAGCCCUGGGAAGACGUAGGGAACCGAUGAACCUGAGCCAGGAAACCUGCCCGUUACCGUAAACUUAA
rnacentral:ncRNA from 2 species